rnacentral:pre_miRNA from 1 species
UCUUAUGGACGAGCAAAAAUAGUGGUUUCUGGAGAUGGGAUCUACUCCUGGAGAAGAUGCUGUGAA